AUUGAACGCUGGCGGCAUGCCUAACACAUGCAAGUCGAACGAGUGGCGGACGGGUGAGUAAUGUCUGGGAAACUGCCUGAUGGAGGGGGAUAACUACUGGAAACGGUAGCUAAUACCGCAUACCAUCAGAUGUGCCCAGAUGGGCUUCGCUUGUUGGUGGGGUAACGGCUCACCACGGCGACGAUCCCUAGCUGGGCUGAGAGGAUGACCAGUCACACUGGAACUGAGACACGGUCAAGACGCCUAGGGGAGGCCGCAGGGGGGCAUAUUGCACAAUGGGCGAAAGCCUGAUGCAGCCAUGCCGCGUGUAUGAAGAAGGCCUGCGGGUUGUAAAGUACUUUCAGCGGGGAGGCGUUACCCGCAGAAGAAGCACCGGCUAACUCCGUGCCAGCAGCCGCGGUAAUAC
rnacentral:rRNA from 1 species